GACGAACGCUGGCGGCGUGCUUAACACAUGCAAGUCGAACGCUGAAGCUCAGCUUUUGUUGGGUGGAUGAGUGGCGAACGGGUGAGUAACACGUGAGUAACCUGCCUCCUUCUUUGGGAUAACGCCCGGAAACGGGUGCUAAUACUGGAUAUUCACUGGUCUUCGCAUGGGGGUCGGUGGAAAGGGUUUUUCUGGUGGGGGAUGGGCUCGCGGCCUAUCAGCUUGUUGGUGGGGUGAUGGCCUACCAAGGCUUUGACGGGUAGCCGGCCUGAGAGGGUGACCGGUAACAUUGGGACUGAGAUACGGCCCAGACUCCUACGGGAGGCAGCAGUGGGGAAUAUUGCACAAUGGGCGCAAGCCUGAUGCAGCGACGCCGCGUGAGGGAUGGAGGCCUUCGGGUUGUGAACCUCUUUCGCUCAUGGUCAAGCCGCAACAAUGGUUGUGGUGAGGGUAGUGGGUAAAGAAGCGCCGGCUAACUACGUG
rnacentral:rRNA from 1 species